rnacentral:piRNA from 1 species
UUCAAACCUUCUAUCUUGCUGCUACUG